rnacentral:rRNA from 1 species
AGCUGGCGGCAGGCUUACAAAUGCAAGCUUAACGAUGAAAAACAUGCUUGCUGGGGGGUUCCAGUGGCGAAAGGGUGAGUAACACGUGAGUAACCUGCCCUGGACUCUGGGAUAACCCUGAGAAAUCGGAGCUAAGUACCGGAUAGGACCUGGAACCGCAUGGUUUUGGGUGGAAAGUUUUUCGGUCUGGGAUGGACUCGCGGCCUAUCAGCUUGUUGGUGAGGUAAUGGCUCACCAAGGCGUCCACGGGUAGCCGGCCUGAGAGGGUGACCGGCCACACUGGGACUGAGACACGGCCCACACUCCUACGGGAGGCAGCAGUGGGGAAUAUUGCACAAUGGGCGCAAGCCUGAUGCACCAACGCCGCGUGAGGGAUGACGGACUUCGGGUUGUAAACCUCUUUUAACUAGGGAAGAAGGGCUUCGGCUUGACGGUACCUGCAGAAAAAGCACCGGCUAACUACGUGCCAGCAGCCGCGG